GAAAUAUUUAAAAUUUUAAUAAUAUUGAGAAUUUUUGAUUACGCAGCUUUAGACUGUGCUGAGCCCGUUCUUGCUCUUCAAGGUGUCUUAUUAUUUGCUUUAACUGUCUUGAGAAAAGAGGUCUUAAAGCCUUUUCUCGAAAGAAUUCGGGGACAGCAGAACAGUUCAUCAAAUUCGGAAACUAAAGAGUCUGAAAUUACAAAUUAAGUUAUCUAAGCGCU